AUAGUGUUUUUUUCUAAUAGUGUGUCUGAUUAUUUUAUUUAUGUUUUAAAAAGCUUUUUGUGCACAUUCUACAAUAACUAAAUGUCGGUCACAAUAACUGUGAUAUGAAAUUCUUAUUGUUACACAUGUAUUUUUACAUCAUUACAAUAUGUCUUCAACCCUUGGAAGAUAGAGAAGACAUAUGGACACAUUUUACACUUGCAAGGUAGACAAAACACAUAAACCCUGUGGCUUAAUUUUCUCUAGCAAAAACACAACCAAGUCGAAGCUUCUUCUGCAGGCUAUUCAUCAGAACAUCUGCACAACACCACCACCCAACACUCAUGAGGAUAGGACCGUAGCUCGAACAGGAAAUUGAGAGCUUUGUCUUCUGGCUCACUAAGACAGUCUGAUACAGCGACUCCAUUACUCAGCUCACUCCAACCGAUAUAUUUGAACUCUUCCAAUGGGAUUUGGAGGUGCUGAGUCUCAUCUGAAAAGCUUCACAUUCAGCCGCGAAGCACACCAGUCAACAAGAAGAUCACAGCUUGAUCAAGACCAAAAUGCCCAGAUGAGUUCUGAGCACCCCUAAGUUGGACACCCUCAACACAUUGGCCGGGCCAAGAAAGUCUGUCCAAAAAAAUAAUGAAAAGGGGCCUCAUGUAAAAAAAAAUGGUGUCGAAUUUUGGCUAAAAACAUGCAAAAAUAUUGAGGCUUAAAAAAAAGCUUGCCGCAAACGCACCUUCAUGCAGUUUGAAGUGUGUAUACAUAACCCCACCUCGCAUCUCGCCCUCCCCACACCUAAUCUUGCCAUAUGAGGUCAAUGCAAAAGGACUUAAUAAAAACUGAAAACUGUUCGAAGGGGUGGAGUCAAAUUCCACUGCUCCUGUGCGCCGCGCAAAAACAAAGUUGUCAAGAGAGACAAGAGACAGAGCUGAGGAAAAGUCGAGAACUAAUAAUAAUAAUUACAAAAUAACUCCAAACAAGUCUUGAAUCCUGACAGUGAUGGCCCUUAUCACAUUUUGGACAUUUAUUGGAUGUUACCUGUAGAUGAAUAUCUGUUUAUAACUUUUUGUUUGUUAUGUAUAGCAGAAUGAAAUAAAUG